GGAAAGGCGCGCGAUACAGGGUGACAGCCCCGUACACAAAAAUGCACAUGCUGUGAGCUCGAUGAGUAGGGCGGGACACGUGGUAUCCUGUCUGAAUAUGGGGGGACCAUCCUCCAAGGCUAAAUACUCCUGACUGACCGAUAGUGAACCAGUACCGUGAGGGAAAGGCGAAAAGAACCCCGGCGAGGGGAGUGAAAAAGAACCUGAAACCGUGUACGUACAAGCAGUGGGAGCACGCUUAGGCGUGUGACUGCGUACCUUUUGUAUAAUGGGUCAGCGACUUAUAUUCUGUAGCAAGGUUAACCGAAUAGGGGAGCCGAAGGGAAACCGAGUCUUAACUGGGCGUUAAGUUGCAGGGUAUAGACCCGAAACCCGGUGAUCUAGCCAUGGGCAGGUUGAAGGUUGGGUAACACUAACUGGAGGACCGAACCGACUAAUGUUGAAAAAUUAGCGGAUGACUUGUGGCUGGGGGUGAAAGGCCAAUCAAACCGGGAGAUAGCUGGUUCUCCCCGAAAGCUAUUUAGGUAGCGCCUCGUGAAUUCAUCUCCGGGGGUA
rnacentral:rRNA from 1 species